rnacentral:rRNA from 1 species
GAUAAACGCUGGCGGCAUGCCUAAUACAUGCAAGUCGAACGGGAGUGCUUGCACUCCAGUGGCGAACGGGUGAGUAACACGUAUUUAAUCUACCUUCUAGUGGGGGAUAACCUUUGGAAACGAAGGAUAAUACCGCGUAAGGUCUCUAUUAUCGCAUGAGAAAGAGAAGAAAGUUGCGUUUGCAACGCUAGAAGAUGAGGAUGCGGCGUAUUAGCUAGUAGGCGGGGCAAAGGCCCACCUAGGCAAUGAUACGUAGCCGAACUGAGAGGUUAAUCGGCCACAUUGGGACUGAGAUACGGCCCAGACUCCUACGGGAGGCAGCAGUAGGGAAUUUUUCACAAUGGACGAAAGUCUGAUGAAGCAAUGCCGCGUGAGUGAUGA